rnacentral:rRNA from 1 species
AUUGAACGCUGGCGGAAUGCUUUACACAUGCAAGUCGAACGGCAGCACGGACUUCGGUCUGGUGGCGAGUGGCGAACGGGUGAGUAAUGUAUCGGAACGUGCCCAGUCGUGGGGGAUAACGUAGUGAAAAUUACGCUAAUACCGCAUACGAUCUAAGGAUGAAAGCGGGGGAUCGCAAGACCUCGCGCGAUUGGAGCGGCCGAUAUCAGAUUAGGUAGUUGGUGGGGUCAAGGCCAACCAAGCCCACGAUCUGUAGCUGGUCUGAGAGGACGACCAGCCACACUGGAACAGAGACCCGGUCCCGACUCCGACGGGAGUCAGCAGUGGGGAAUUUUGGACAAUGGGCGAAAGCCUGAUCCAGCCAUUCCGCGUGCAGGAUGAAGGCACUCGGGUUGUAAACUGCUUUUGUACAGAACGAAAAGGUUUCUACUAAUACUAGGAGCUCAUGACGGUACUGUAAGAAUAAGCACCGGCUAACUACGUGCCAGCCGCCGCCGUAA